GAAAAGUUUCCACUGACAAAAGCAGUGAAAGUGCAUUGCUUUUAGUAUUGGUUUUUGUUGUUGUUGCUGCUUUCUUUUAUAGGUCUCAAGUGCCUCUUCAAAUACAAGUCCAAAUGACAGGAGUCCAGGAGUUUGGAAGUUAUUAGAGAGCACAGGCUGUGAUGCUUGAUGCAGAGCACAAACAGAGCUUGUGGCUGCCGCUGGGUGAAUGUUCCUGCUUAUUGCCAAGCCCUGCAGCCAGUCCUGGGGUGCCUUCCUGUGACUCCCACCCUGCACAGGUUCGGAGUGGUGGAGCAUAUGUGCGUGGGGACGUUUGCCUGUGUGACGUGAUGCAAAGGUUGCUGGAUUUUGGGGUCAGUCCUCAAGAUAAGUUGCUUUAUUUUGUGGCUGGUGGAGCUUUGCUGUUUUACUCCCAGGUUGAACACGGCCCCCUGGUUUUGUGUGCCCACCCUCAGUACUGCUGUUAGCAGGGUUGGUGACCAGUCAACUUUGCUCCCUGGAGAUGCUGGUGGGAGGAGGACCUUCCCAUCUGCUGCCUCAGUAGAUCUGUUCUUGUUCCCUUCUUGUGCUCCUCCAGCAACCGAUGGCACAGGUGCCAGCUUCUAUUUAGAAUUCCCUACUGGGAUGGUUGGUAAAUGUUACCUGCUACAGCUGCACUUGGCCCACCUUGCUUGUAACUGAGUACUGGGAGGGUGAGAUCAGCCACUGAGGCAGAUGCAGUUCUUGGGCAGCUCAUUGCAGCUGAUAAUUUUAAGACCUUUAUUGCAGACAAUCGAUAUGCAGAAUUGUAGUCCUCGUGUAGAUGUUUUAUUUCGGUUUUUGCUUCCUCUGGCAGUCUCAUCUGAAUUACUAUACAGCUGAAUAGCUGCUGACUGCAGCCACAUAGGCGUUGGUUGCGAUGUAACGCUUGGCCUCUGGGCAGACCUGCAGCAAUUUUUAAACACGAGAAUGGAGAUGGGAUGCUGACGCACAGUCACAACUCUCACUUACAGGGAAUCUCUGCUUUCAGCAGAAUUAAAAGGGCAGAUGGGGUAUGAGCAUCUUCCAAAUCCAGUCUCGCUGAAAAGGGAAUUAGCAAGAUCAUUAAACUGCCUCAUUAUUACCAUGGUAAUUACAAGAUUAACACACUUCACUUCAGGAUCUCUAAUUUGUUUUGUAAUAUAAGCAAGAUGGGGAGAUGAUUUGGCUAUAUUUGAAGUCUUGGGACAGAUAGUGUCUGAGGAAUAGGUAGGGGGUUAGCUGCACAGAAUGAUGCAUAUCAAGUAGAUAUCAAACAGCUACAUAUGCUAAUAUGUGAUGUAUAUGUGAGCUGCAAAGAUCAUUUAUUCCGGAGAGCGGGAAGUAGAUGCUAGGUUUGAUCAGAUUAUCAAAGGUACCUGAGGAUCUGUCAAGCACAGCUCUUCCAUGUUCUUCUGAAACCUGAACAUGAAAAGACAAGGCAGAAAUGGGUCUGACGUUACUAAUGAU
rnacentral:lncRNA from 1 species